rnacentral:rRNA from 1 species
ACUCCUACGGGAGGCAGCAGUGGGGAAUAUUGGACAAUGGGGGGAACCCUGAUCCAGCCAUGCCGCGUGUGUGAAGAAGGCCUUAUGGUUGUAAAGCACUUUAAGCGAGGAGGAGGCUCCUGUAGUUAAUACCUACAGUGAGUGGACGUUACUCGCAGAAUAAGCACCGGCUAACUCUGUGCCAGCAGCCGCGGUAAUACAGAGGGUGCGAGCGUUAAUCGGAUUUACUGGGCGUAAAGCGUGCGUAGGCGGCUUUUUAAGUCGGAUGUGAAAUCCCCGAGCUUAACUUGGGAAUUGCAUUCGAUACUGGGAAGCUAGAGUAUGGGAGAGGAUGGUAGAAUUCCAGGUGUAGCGGUGAAAUGCGUAGAGAUCUGGAGGAAUACCGAUGGCGAAGGCAGCCAUCUGGCCUAAUACUGACGCUGAGGUACGAAAGCAUGGGGAGCAAACAGGAUUAGAUACCCUGGUAGUCCAUGCCGUAAACGAUGUCUACUAGCCGUUGGGGCCUUUGAGGCUUUAGUGGCGCAGCUAACGCGAUAAGUAGACCGCCUGGGGAGUACGGUCGCAAGACUUAAACUCAAAUGAAUUGACGGGGGCCCCCACAAGCGGUGGAGCAUGUGG